UGAGGAAUAUUGGGCAAUGCCCGCAAGGGUGACCCAGCAACGCCGCGUGGAGGAUGAAUGUCGUAAGAUUGUAAACUCCUGUUAGAGGGGAAGAAUAGUACCGGUUGGACCGGUAUAUGACUGUACCCUCAGAGAAAGCCCCGGCUAACUACGUGCCAGCAGCCGCGGUAAUACGUAGGGGGCAAGCGUUGUCCGGAUUUACUGGGUGUAAAGGGCGCGCAGGCGGGAUAAAAAGUCAGUGGUGAAAUCCUACAGCUUACCUGUAGAACUGCCUUUGAUACUUUUAUGCUUGAGUUCGGGAGAGAGAGACGGAAUUCCAGGUGUAGUGGUGAAAUACGUAGAUAUCUGGAAGAACACCAGUUGCGAAGGCGGCCUCUUGGUCCGACACUGACGCUGAGGCGCGAAAGCGUGGGGAGCAAACA
rnacentral:rRNA from 1 species